CACGGGUAAUAGACUGUGCUAGCGUCCCGUUUUGGCCCGACUGGUGCCAAUGUGUGUAUGCUAGUGUGCUUCUAAAGUUCACACUUAAUAAAAAAAUGGUUUGCAAAAAAAAAGUCGGUACUUUUUUUGUGGAACCACUUGAUAUUCCUUGGUAGAUCGUAGCAUAUUUAGAUCAAGAAUUAUACGACUAAUACGACUAACUUGCGAACUUACCGUGUUUCUCAGUUCUUAGGAUCUGCAAGUUUUCCCGCGAAAGCGCUCACGUGGUAUGAUUUUAUAGUCACAUUUCCCGCCAAAUUAAGCACGUGACUAAUUCCGUGCAAACAUCCCCUUCCCCCUCCCCACCACCAUGUUUUGUCGGCCAUCUUGUUCUGUUAGAUGUUCUUCGACGUAGGUAAACAAAGGGUCCUUGCGCUUUAGAAAUUUAUUCCUGUAGCUAUUUCUUUCUCUGAUCCUUUAGAGAAGAUUUUUCGUAGCUAACCGGAUAUUUUUGUGACGGCCGUGCAUCUAGCAUUCUCGAGGGUUUACGAAGCUCUUGCACGGCCUAUUUUGGUUUAGGGUGAUUUUUGCUUAAAAGAGUGGUUUCUUGGCUUUUAGUGGUGGCUAUCGCCCAGAAAUGGGUGUAUAAAGCAGUCUUAGUAAUUCAUAAUCAUAGGUAAGCACUAGAAAAUGUUUUAACUUAGGUAUAAACUCCGAGGUUUGGCGAAUAAUGGCGAAAACGACUAAGUGUCGAACCCCACGCUUCGUUCAUUAUGUACCGAGCAUUCGCAUACCGCCUGUGGUAUACGUUUUUACGCAGUGUCUACUUGCACGGCUUCCGGUAAGGGCUGGUUCACACUAGCGACAUAACGGACACUCUUUUUUCCUAUGUUUAAACUGUGAAUGGUUCAAAAUAAUGACAUAACGACGGACACAUAACGACAUAGGAGAAACAACAUGUUUUUUUUUUUCUUAUGUCGUUAUGUCAAUGUCGUUAUACAAGGACAUAAGGGCGCGAUGUUAUGUCGUUAUGUCGCUAGUGUGAACCAGCCUUAAAGCAGGAAAAAAAACUAGCUGCACGGCUGUCUCCCAUUGUCUCGAUUUUUAGUCUAAAUAACAAGUUUCUGGCUUUGAAACACUUCCAGGAUUAUUUAGAACAGGCAAGCGAUGAUUUUAAGCCUGAAAAGCUAUGAAAAGAGCGGCCCGCAAAUGCUCGGCACGGUAUGAACGAAGUUCGACAGUCGUUUUCGCCAUAUUACAGCCGUGCAAGGAGAGAACAAAACUAGAUGCACGGCCCUUUUUUCUUUUCGCCAUUUUAAGCAAAAAUGAAAAGUUCUGACUUUAAAAACCUCCAACUGUUAUUUAGAACCGUCAAGCGAUGGCUUUGAGCUUGAAAAAAAAUGCAAAAGGCGACAUGCGAAUGCUCGGCAUAUAAUGAACGAAGCCUGGAAUUCGACACAGCCGUUUUCGUCAUCGAUCGCCAAGCCAAACAGGUUAGCACCAGGCGCGUACCCAGCAUUGGUUGAAGGGGGAUAUGGAAAGAGGAAAAUAUUUGAAGAAACGACCCAUUUUCUGGCCUCCAAGGGGGUGCUCAUGCACCCUGCACACCCCCUGUGUAUGUGCCUGAGCAUUGUAUAUCUUGAGAUAAUCAUAAUAAUCAUAAUGUGGCCCUCUAAAACACACAACCAAGUAAGAACAUAAUCGCAAAAAUUAGAUAUGUUGAAUUAAUCAUCUCUGAUGGUUUUUUAUUCAUACGUCACUAUGAUUAGUAAACCUUAUCAUAAAGAAUCUUAGAGAUCAAUCUAAAUAUGAACUUAAUUGGUCUGGAAGUAUGGUUGUAUAUAGGUAUUUUAGGUGGAAUGGAUUUAAUGGGGUGAUUUGCAGGAGAUAACACCUGGCAUACCAGGGGCGUAGCCAAUGGGGUGACCAAGGGGGCCUGCCCCCCCCUUCCUCCUUUAGGAGCCAAAAAUACAGUAAAUGUAUAAGGACAUAAAAUACAGGAGAAAAUGCCCUGAAAGGGCCUCUGGCCCCCCUUUCUGUUAAAAAUCCUGACUAAGCCGCUGCAUACCCCUCCUGGUAUAAAGCUCCUCUGCUCCAUAGUUCCUCUCCUAAGGGUUCCUUAGGUUCUCUAAGCACCAACUGCUGGUUAAUUUCUCCAUGUUGAGCCAGCUGAACACGUUUUCUCACUUAUGACAAAUUCCUUUAGGAACAGCCCUCCUGCCAUAUCACCAGCACACUAGCAACAGAGCCCCUCCAUUAUUAUACUGUAUGCCACAUCUAACAUCCCCAUCCACUUAGCCUUCCCCUUCCACUACAACAACCUACACAACACCAGAAUUAAUACCAUAAUAUUUCCAUCCUAAAGUUGUACAUGAACCGUCACUUAGGGGCGGAGUAUUGAGGCAUUUUUCAUUUGAGUUUUCACAAGGGAGCCAUCAACCCUCCUCUUUUCAGAUCAGUGCAUGGUAUCGAAACAGGUAAGUAUAUGUAUUAGAAAGCUAUUUUCCACAACAUUCCAUCAAUUUUUACCAUUUUAAAAGUCUAGAAAAGUCACCCAGUCCUAUAAUUGUCUCUGAAUUUUGCCUUGGGCCUCCCACUUUUUUAGGCCAGCUCCGCCUGCCAGCUCCCGGGUUGAGAGGUGUAGAAGUCCUCUCGUAAGGCCUAACAGGAUUGGCUGGAUUACCUCAUUGUUCUAUUGUAUUCCCGUUCUAUUGUUUUGUCUGUGGUGCAUCAAUCCAAUCAGGUGAAAUCUUCUGAUAGCUUCUACAUGACCCCCCUGGUUAGGUAUAGGAUAGCAGAAUGGGUGUGGUCAACAGAAAUUUGAACCCUUUAGAGACAGCAAAUCAGGGUCUUAAAUGUUCAAAUGAUAUUCAGUUAGCAAACCAAUUUAUUUCUUGUCCACAAACAGCAUAAAACAUGCAAGAGGAUAGUAUGUGUACCUAUGAAAAGGUCUUAAAGUAUAGGGAUAGGGCAGCCAUUAUCAUUAUUAUCAUUAUUACCAUUUUUAUCAUUAUUAUUCAUUUAUAUUUUUACAAAUGAAAUAGAGAAUCCCAAAGAAAUGCUGCUUGCAAACAACUAAUGAUAAGAGUAAUAAUGAUAAUAAUAAUGAUAUUGAUAAUAAAGGCUGGUUUGUGAUUGACAGUGAUUUCGUGCAACAAUGUUUGAUCAUAUGGAAAUCACUUUGCAUUAAUGGGAUUGGUUGUGAUCACACAGUGAAAUAAGCUGCAAUCGUGGGCAAUCAAGUGAGAUCAUAUGGGGAACAAACAAACAAGCAAAAUAGAUAAAAAACAAAGUAUAAGAGAGAAAUGUAAUAUCAUAUUAGAUAAUAUGGGUAUCAAUCUGUAAAUAAAUGUGAAUAAGUAAAUAAAUGAAUAAUCAAAUAGAUCAGGGCCGCAGCAGGGGUUGGGGCACAAGGAAAUGACAAGUAGGGGUGUGGCUGUGUCCCCUUAAUAUUAUCUUAAUGUUUCUGUAUUGUGCCACCCCCCCCCCCCCCCCCGCCAACAUUUUGAGGCAUGCUACAGCCCUGUAGAUUAUUUAACAAACGGAAGAAUUAUAAUAAAAAAAUUGUAUAGAUUCUGGCUAAAAAAGUAAGAAAUACCCUUUUCAAUGCAAUUCGUCAACCUCCCCUCCCCCAAAGCUUUGUCCAACUUGUUUUGUUGUUAUGUUCUGUUAUGGACUGUUGGGCCUUAGAAAUUUAUUGCUGUGUUUAUAUUUUUCACUGUCUUUAGAAACGAUUCUUCACAAUUCAGAUGUUCAAUAUUUUAAUUUUAGAUUGAGUUUUUCGAAGCGAACCGGAUAUUUUUGUGACAGCCGUGCAUCUAGCGUUUCCGAGAGCUUAUGGAUUGGCGUGAUUUUUUAUUAAAAGAGUGGUUUCUUGGCUCUUAGUGAUAGCUAUCGUCCAGAAAUUGGUGGAUAAAGCAGUCUUAGUAAUCCAUAGCCAAAGAUUAGCGCCAGAAAAUAUUUUAACUUAGUUCUUACCUGUGUGGCUUGGCGAUCGAUGGCGAAAACGGCUGUGUCGAAUUCCAGGCUUCGUUCAAGUUAUGUGCCGAGCAUUCGCAUGUCGCCUUUUGCAAUUUUUUUCAAGCUCAAAGCCAUCGCUUGACGGUUCUAAAUAACAGUUGGAGGUUUUUAAAGUCAGAACUUUUCAUUUUGGCUUAAAAUGGCGAAAAGAAAAAAGGGCCGUGCAUCUAGUUUUGUUCUCUCCGUGCACGGCUGUAAUAUGGCGAAAACGACUGUGUCGAACUCCACUCUUCGUUCAUACCGUGCCAAGCAUUUGCGGGCCGCUCGUUUCAUAGCUUUUCAGGCUUGAAAUCAUAGCUUGCCUGUUUUAAAUAAUCCUGGAAGUGUUUCAAAGCCAGAAACUUGUUAUUUAGGCUUAAAAGCGAGAAAAUGGGAGACAGCCGUGCAGCUAGAUUUUUUUCCUCCUUUACCGGAAGCCGUGCAAGUAAACAACUGCGAUGUUUUUAAGCUCAAUGCAAUCGCUUUACUAUUCUAAAUAAUUUUUGUUUUGUUUUUAAAGUCAGAACUUUUCAUUUUUGCCUAAAAUGGCGAAAAGAAAAAAGGGCAGUGCAUCUGGUUUCUUUCUCUCCGUGCACGGCUGUAAUAUGGCGAAAACAAGUGUCGAACUCCACGCUUCGUUCAUACUGUGCCGAGCAUUUGCGGGCCGCUCGUUGCAUAGCUUUUCAAGCUGAAAAAUAUCGCUUGGCUGUUUUAAAUAAUCGUGGAAGGUUUUUAAAGCCAGAAACUUCUUAUUUAGGCUUAAAAUCGAGAAAAUAGGAGACAGCCGUGCAGCUAGUUUUUUUCCUCCUUUACCGGAAGCCGUGCAAGUAGACACUGCGUUUUAUAUUUUUCUUCUCCCCAAAACUAAGUCAAUAUUUUUUUAUUAAUAAUUUUUUCAUAGGAUUUUAAUAUGUUUUUUAAUGUUUGUGAUAGCAAAAUAAGCUAAAAUAAAUUUCAAACCUACCUGGACUUUGUAUAGUUCGCCAAUACUCUCUGACUCUCGGUGGCUUUCUAGUAGCUGUUCAUCCGAGACAAUCGAGUGAGGUAAUCGCAGAUUUUCUUGAGACGGCUCAUCGUCGUAACUCAAAAUUUGUCUUCUCGCGAUUUGUUUGCCACCUUUUCUUAGUACUUUUGCAGGGGGUCCCUUUACCUAAUCACACUUGCCAAACAAGCUCGACAAAUGUAUUCAUUUAUGUCACCUAGCUCGACAUCAAAUAUUUCCGAAAUGUUCUCUCCGAGACCGACGCUUCUUUCUUGUAGUUUGGUCCUGUGUUUACUAUCCGUUAUGUGCUGGUUGCAAAUAAAGCUACCAUUCAUGCUAAAAAAAAAAUAACUACAAUUGUUUUUUAUGAGGCUAAAUGCUCGCAUUUAGGCAAGGUUAGACUCACAACACAGGGCAGUGUCUAAGAUAUCUAGAGGUUAUGCGUACGCGACCUGCGCCGGCGCGCGUGGUGCAGCGGUAUGCUUUCGAAGGGUAGCUUUGCACCGAGCGGCAAAUGCUCUCUGAUCAAACGUCGUUUCGUGCUAAGACGUAGGAAGCGAUUUAGCAAUUUUUUCGUGACAUUUCUGGUUUUUCUUCGGCGGUAUGGCGGACAGGCCUUCGACCGAGUUCAUGGAAGCUAUCCGGGAGGUGAUGAAGGAGGAGAUUCGCUCUUUUGCCCAAUUUCCGGCGGCGAGCAGUGAAAAACCAAUAACAUCGAGUCCAGGACGAGACGAAAACGGGGUCGGCGGGGAUUUUCCGGCGUCAGGUACCAGGGCGACUCCCGUAACGCCAGGUGUGUUGCCAGAUACCGUCAACACUUUCUCUAUCGCGUCGGCGCCGUCCGGUGUGGCGGGUUUGAGUGCUGCUCUCCCGUUAUCGGUCUCCUCGGGCAGCGUUGACUUGACGGCCAUGGCGCCCAUGAUGAUGCAUUCUCUGGCGGUCGGAGAGCCGUUUAUUGUGGCACCUGGUUUCUCGCCAGUCCCUGCAAAACUGGUAUCAUCAAUUGUGGGCGGGCGGUUCGUGGAGCUUAGCGAGCUUUUGACUUCAAACCUGCGAGAGGCAAACUUGGAGCCGCAGCUCUUUAUGAACGGCAAUCUUGUACUUACGACGCCAAAUAAGAGACCUCGGCGGGCCAUCGAGGAUAUUGGGGCGUGGUGUGAGGCGUUUUUAAUCUAUGCCCUGAUCCUUUGCUCUCAGUUCCUUCAGAGAAAUCGGGGUUUACUGCUGUACAAGUUAGGAUUUUGCGCACUUAUCGCCAGUUCGCCGGUCGCGUAUGGCUGAAUUACGAUAGGGCGUUUCGCGAGCACGCGGCCGCGGCCAAGCUGACCGAUUGGUCCCAACUUCACCCGCAGAUAAAUAACGUUUGCGCAGCGGGAGCGUUAGCCCGCCCGGAAGCCGGUAGGGGUCGCCCUACAAUUUGGAAGCAUGUCGCUUGUGGAAUUUCGCCAGGUGUUACUUCCCGGGGUGCCGCUACACCCACCAGUGCACUUACUGCGACGGGAACCAUCCGGUGCGCGAGUGCCCGUCGAGCGCAGAGCAAAAGCGCAAGGCGUCGUCUCCAGAGCCACUACCUGGAAAGAAGUCGCGCACGCGGUGGGCCUGAGAUGGCCCAGGGCGGCAGCAGGAUCGUCAAACCCUUGUAGGGUUUGUUGACUGUUUUAGAGACAGUAGUCUACUAGUUAUGGUACUUUUACUUAAUAUCUUAUGCGCCUAUUCUUGCACCUCAGCAGGUUGUUGUAUGGCAGUUGUGUAUACGAGGGUUCUUGUAAGCUUAUAAACUAGAGUACUUGUCA